UACAGAGGGCUCAAGCGUUGUCCGGAUUUAUUGGGCGUAAAGAGCCCGUAGGCGGUCGUGCAAGUCGGAUGUGAAAUCUCAGGGCUCAACCCUGAAACUGCAUUCGAUACUGCGUGGCUAGAGUGCUGGAGAGGAGACUGGAAUUUACGGUGUAGCAGUGAAAUGCGUAGAUAUCGUAAGGAAGACCAGUGGCGAAGGCGAGUCUCUGGACAGCAACUGACGCUGAGGCACGAAGGCCAGGGGAGCAAACGGG
rnacentral:rRNA from 1 species